CCUCAAAAAAAGAAGAAAAAAAGCAAAACGGAAGCGGGGCGAGCGUGCGCAUGCGCAGUUUCUCAUUCGGCAGAUAAAGCCGCAGACAUACAGAUAGAGAUACAGCUACAGUUAAAGAUACAGAUACAGAUGCAGAUACAUUUUUAUAAGACAGCACCAAGUCGCCAGAAGUAACAGCCCCAUAAUGACAACAAAUCUGGCAGACAGACGACGGCGAUGGCGCACCUCCAAACUGCCGCAUAAAUAAUGUUGUAUGUUUGUUCUUCCCUUCUUGAGUUCGCAUUUCUCGUUGCUUUUUUAUCGCUUUUUUUUUAUUUGUGUGUAUUUUUUGGCGACUCUGGCGCAUAAUUGUUUUUGCAGCUUAUGCUUUUCCGAUUCUGCCAGCAACUCUGCUGACUCACGAGCGUUGAACUUUUCACCCGUAUCCCAUGUCCCAAGUCCCGUGUUUCGUGUUCCGUAUCCGUGGCACAUGGAGUGCGCGGCUUAAGUGGACUUAAUGACUUGUGGUUCUGCGACUGAGACGUAAAUCACUUUUAUGACAACUGGAGGAUGGUACCUUCUCAUCGAUUUUUUACGGCCGUCAUCAGGGAAUGCGCCAUUCCCUUACUCCCAUACUGGCAAUCAAAUGUUGGCCAAAAGCAGUUUGGCCAAAUGUGCAACAGAUUCCGGGCCAUCGUUGUCGCAGUUCUAGCCACUUGUUAACGCCAUUUCCGCCCGUCAUAUCAAAAUAAUUAUCUCAAAGUGUUGGCUCUGCUCGGGAGAUCCCUGGGAUCCAACGAAAUACAGCAAAAACCAUACCAAACCGAUCUGAAAACAAGACUCGUUUGCGUGCGGAGCAGUUUGGGGCUCUUCUAUCGGGAACUACUACUGGACAACUUGAUCUGCAGAACAAGUUACUCACGCAAUCUUGAUUGCAAUUAUGUAAUUCGAAAUUCCUACUAAUUAAACCAACAUUUCGCCUAAUCGCAUUUACACUAGAAACACGCUACAAAUCAAUAAGAUCGUUGUAGGGUGUCAAGUAUGGUAAAUUUGUUAGCCCAUUGAGUGUCUGUGGUAAUUAAUUAUAUAAAACUAAAUUCCAUAUAAAUUCGAUUUCAAGCAAAUUGCAAUAUCAAAUUGAUUGGUUUUACUUAAUGUGUUCCGCCUUUAAAAGUCAGCACUUGGACCCACAGCCAACCAAAAUGAGGCUGGCCAUCAUCUGCGUGCUCGUCCUGGUCAUCUAUGCAAGUGUCGCAUCCGGGCAAGGACGGAGGAGGAAGCCCAAGGACAAGAGAGCGAAUUUGGAAGGCUGGGUAAAACAGCCCUUGGAUGCGAUUAUUGAAUGAACAAUGAAUUCCGCUUUUGAAACCUUAAACGUAAAUUAAAUACAAAUUCAUAAUUUUGCAUUGUAUAAUUUACUUUGUAAUUAAAUAAUAAAUAGGCGUGACAGCUUAGUUCUCAAUCUUAA